rnacentral:rRNA from 1 species
UACGGAGGAUCCAGGCGUUAUCCGGAUUUAUUGGGUUUAAAGGGUGCGUAGGCGGCCUAUUAAGUCAGGGGUGAAAGACGGUAGCUCAACUAUCGCAGUGCCCUUGAUACUGAUGGGCUUGAAUGAACUAGAGGUAGGCGGAAUGUGACAAGUAGCGGUGAAAUGCAUAGAGAUGUCGCAGAACACCGAUUGCGAAGGCAGCUUACUAGGGUGUUAUUGACGCUGAGGCGCGAAAGCGUGGGGAUCAAACAGG